AUGAGAGCCGUGAGAACAAUGCGUGUCAGCUGUAUCCAUUCCUGUAGGACUUGGAUUUUGGGAUUACAUUCUGAUGUAUCAUCUGCAAAAUCAUUCUGCAUGGUUCUUUACCAGGGUCUCACUCUGUUGCCCAGGCUGGAGCAUAGUGAUGUGAUCUUGACUGACUGCAGCCUCCACCUCCCGGGCUCAAGAGAUUCUCCUGCCUCAGCCUUCUGAAGUGACUACAGGUGCGCACCACCAUGCCAGAUUAAUUUUCGUAUUCUUAGUAGAGAUGGGGUUCAUCCUUUUGGCCAGCCUGGUCUCAAACUCCUGGGCUCAAGUGAUCCACCCGCCUUUUGAAAAGAAUUUUAUAUUUCCAUUCACUGCUGUGCUCCUCCUGCGGCCCGUGUUUGUUGAGUGCUGUGUGGAAGCUGUGAUCUGUGAAGGGAGGAGUUGGCGAAGCUAACUUCCCUGCCCAGGGAGCCAGCCUGGAGCGGUGAACCCCAGAAGUGGAGGCAGGCUGGAUGGCAGCGUGGGCUACUCAAGGAAGGAAAGCAGACCAGGGUUGCGCAGACGUGGAAUCCCGGAGAAGGGAUCGGGAAGUUCACAGCGUGCAGUGGGGUGGUCAGGGUCAGCCUUGUGGAGAAGGUGAGAUUUGGACCCGCUCCGUCUAGGGAAAGGAGGUUCCCAGCAGAGGGAAUCGCUAAAGCAGAAGCAUGCCCAGCUUGUGGAAAAACAGCAGAGAGGCCCGCACAGCUGGUGCAAGAGUGAGAUAAGGGAGGCUGAGACCCCUCAGGCCCCAGAGCAGGCUGGCCUGGUAGGCUGUUUGGGGCCUUGGCUUUUAUCCUGAGUGACAUGGGAAAGUAUCACAGGGUUUGACAUGGUCUGACUUCAUCCAUGUCCCUGCAAAGGACAUGAUCUCAUUCUUUUUCAUGGCUGUGUAGUAUUCCAUGGUGGAUAUAUACCCCAUUUUCUUUAUCCAGUCUAAAUCAACCAAUAUUUAGGUUGAUUCCAUGUCUUUGCUAUUGUGAAUAAGCACUGAAAUUCUUAC
rnacentral:lncRNA from 1 species